rnacentral:rRNA from 1 species
UACGUAGGGUGCGAGCGUUGUCCGGAAUCACUGGGUGUAAAGGGUCCGCAGGUGGACAGGUAAGUCGGUGGUGAAAGCUGCCCGCUCAACGGGUAAAUUGCCUUCGAUACUGCCUGUCUUGAGUGUGGGAGAGGAUGAUGGAAUUCAUGGUGUAGCAGUGAAAUGCGUAGAUAUCAUGAAGAACACCGGUUGCGAAGGCGGUCAUCUGGCCCACAACUGACGCUCAGGGACGAAAGCGUGGGGAGCAAACAGG